rnacentral:lncRNA from 1 species
AUCUCGCGUGAUUAGGCCAACUAAAAUUAAUUAGUAGAUUUUCAUCCCAAUUUUUGAAAAAAAUGGGGCGGGUGGGAGGAUUUUAUUUUUUAAAUUUUAUUUCAUAUGAAACCCUCGUCACGAGUUCUUCAUACCGCGGAGUAUAUGCUAGUGGAAAAUAAGCUUGUAUAAUGUAUAUACAUGCUGUAUAAGGAAUCCUACACUAUUUUUUAAACUCUUAAAUAAAAAUCCCUGAUUGGCAACCACUGUUAUACAUGUAAUUGCCGCUUUAGAAACCUAUUUAUAGUAUACAUCAAAAAGAAGAGAAAUGCUCUCUUCAGUUGGACUAUACCUACAGCAAAUUUAUUUUGCUUUCUAAGCAAUGGUUUGUAGUCCCUAUAAAAUCAAUCAAAUGUAUUGGUACAAUUGUAUGCCAGGCGCGGAUCCAGAGGGGGGGGUUCCGGGGGUUGGAACCCCCCUUUUUUUUGGACGAUCAAUGCAUUUGAAUUGGGACAUGUAAUUGGAACACCCCCUUUGUCCUGGGUUAGGAACCCCCCC